GAGUUGAAUGGUAGUGAUUUGAACCCAGGAAAACAAAUAAAGGGAAACUUCUUUAAUUAUGUGAACUUUAGUGAUUUCCAGGGUCAUACCAAGAGUUCUGGAUGAGAUUCAUUGAGUGUGUGGUUUAGCAGCGCUACCCAACAUCACAUUAAUAAGAAUAGUAUGCAUUAGUUGUAAUGUCGCCUUAUCCCCACUGCUCUCUUGAAAGUAUGUAAUGUGAGGAAUAUACCGCUUCCUCCCAUUUUGAUGUAAGGUGGUGUAAUAUUUUUCUCUAUCAGAUGUAGCAGGUGAGAUGUCAAGAAAAAGAUCUCACUGGCCAUGCAAAAGACAGUCCCUUCAGCUGUGUCCUCGCAGUCGAACUCUGAACCUGUGCAUGCUGAGCACCAGCCCUGGGCCACUAUGCAUCCCACUGUGCUUGGUCCUUUACAACAUGCGAGUUACCACAGUAACUUGUAAUUCAAAUGCUUUAAAAUCCUUGAAGAGUCAAAGGCAGACAAUGUAAUGAUAAAACAUCCAAGGCACAGGUCACUGUCAGCUGUACUUCAUCUACUGCAAUUCUCCUGAACUACCUCCCAACUUCUCUUAGUCUAACCAAGUUGUAACAUACAUAAAGUGCUGCCCUUGAGCUAUCAAAUAAUUACUAUUUGUUUCAUCACACAGGUGAAGUUGUGGAAGCCCCUCCUGCUUUGUUGUGAAAGGUCAGAGAGAAGGACAAUUCUGAAUGGAUAAUGGAGUACAGGUUUAUCAGCUGUAUGAUCUAUCAUGGUACACUCAGAUGUCUUGUACUAUGCUUGACUUCCAUCAUCUGACAGGUUUUUCUCAAACUAUAUAUGUGAAUGAGGAUUAGUGGUGACAGCUUUUUACAAAGAUGAUGUUGACACUCCUGCUGCAGGAGCUCUGAGCAGUACUCAGCAAUUACUUCAAUUACUUCUGCACAUCCAAUCUCCAAAUCAAUCCAAUUUACUCAUGUCUGCUUCUAAAUCAGUUCUCCCAUCAGCCUUUUACAGCCUUUCCCCUGUAUCAUUAUGCCUGCUGUUUCCUCGUCUUUCAGGGAGGCUGCAGGCACAGUCAAGAUGCUUUGUUUUCCAGAUUCUGGAUGGAGGGAGCAAUAGAGACAUGAAUUAUU